CUGGGAUAACUCCGGGAAACCGGGGCUAAUACCGGAUGCUUGUUUGAACCGCAUGGUUCAAACAUAAAAGGUGGCUUCGGCUACCACUUACAGAUGGACCCGCGGCGCAUUAGCUAGUUGGUGAGGUAAUGGCUCACCAAGGCGACGAUGCGUAGCCGACCUGAGAGGGUGAUCGGCCACACUGGGACUGAGACACGGCCCAGACUCCUACGGGAGGCAGCAGUAGGGAAUCUUCCGCAAUGGACGAAAGUCUGACGGAGCAACGCCGCGUGAGUGAUGAAGGUUUUCGGAUCGUAAAGCUCUGUUGUUAGGGAAGAACAAGUACCGUUCGAAUAGGGCGGUACCUUGACGGUACCUAACCAGAAAGCCACGGCUAACUACGUGCCAGCAGCCGCGGUAAUACGUAGGUGGCAAGCGUUGUCCGGAAUUAUUGGGCGUAAAGGGCUCGCAGGCGGUUUCUUAAGUCUGAUGUGAAAGCCCCCGGCUCAACCGGGGAGGGUCAUUGGAAACUGGGGAACUUGAGUGCAGAAGAGGAGAGUGGAAUUCCACGUGUAGCGGUGAAAUGCGUAGAGAUGUGGAGGAACACCAGUGGCGAAGGCGACUCUCUGGUCUGUAACUGACGCUGAGGAGCGAAAGCGUGGGGAGCGAACAGGAUUAGAUACCCUGGUAGUCCACGCCGUAAACGAUGAGUGCUAAGUGUUAGGGGGUUUCCGCCCCUUAGUGCUGCAGCUAACGCAUUAAGCACUCCGCCUGGGGAGUACGGUCGCAAGACUGAAACUCAAAGGAAUUGACGGGGGCCCGCACAAGCGGUGGAGCAUGUGGUUUAAUUCGAAGCAACGCGAAGAACCUUACCAGGUCUUGACAUCCUCUGACAAUCCUAGAGAUAGGACGUCCCCUUCGGGGGCAGAGUGACAGGUGGUGCAUGGUUGUCGUCAGCUCGUGUCGUGAGAUGUUGGGUUAAGUCCCGCAACGAGCGCAACCCUUGAUCUUAGUUGCCAGCAUUCAGUUGGGCACUCUAAGGUGACUGCCGGUGACAAACCGGAGGAAGGUGGUGAUGACGUCAAAUCAUCAUGCCCCUUAUGACCUGGGCUACACACGUGCUACAAUGGACAGAACAAAGGGCAGCGAAACCGCGAGGUUAAGCCAAUCCCACAAAUCUGUUCUCAG
rnacentral:rRNA from 1 species